rnacentral:tRNA from 1 species
GCUAGAGUAGCAAAGUGGUUAAUGUUUAAAAUUUAGGAUUUUAUAGCAAAGGUUCGACUCCUUUCUUUAGCU